AUGUAAUCUUUGCCCUUUACAAUGCACAGACUCAGAGGCCAGAGUUACUAAGCCUAGAAUUCUAGAUUCCAACAAAAGUAGGCUCUCCUAGCUCCCCAUCUAUCUGUUGGGGAAUGAUUGUUUCCAGAAGCUUCAACUAACCCUAUCUCUUGGAACUGCAGUUUCUUCAUCUGUACAAUGGGGCAGCAUUUUCUUUCCGGUACCAGGGAACGAACUCAGGUCCUUGCGCUAACCAGGCAGUCAUGGCGCCACUGAGCUACAUCCCUGGCCCAACUUCCAACUCUAUUUAUUUUAUGACAAGGUCUUGCUAAGUUCUCCGGCUGGCCUCGAACUUGCGAUCCUCCUGCUUCAACCUGAGUCACUGGGAUUACAGUACUGGAGAUUGAACUCGGGACCUUAUGCUUGCGAGACAGACAUGGUACUGCUGUGCUAAAUCCCCAACCCCACCUUUUUUUUUUUUUUUUUUUUUAUUAAGAGUCUCUGUUUUCCUGUAUUUUGCCAAUAUGUUUUAUUUUCAGUUCUGACUUCACAAAUGUUCACAAACGCUGAGUGCAUGUAGUGUUAAAAGUCUCUGAUGUUUUUCAGUCCUUCUUCCCUUCCAACAAUUUUCUCCGCACAUCAAGAAGAUGUCAAGUGUUCUCAUUCAGGUAAAAAUACUGAAAGAGACAAGCCAACUCUUCCUCACCUAAAAGUCUGCUGUCUUCCAGGGGCUCAGUUUCCCAGGUAGACUCCAGAUGGCCCAAGGCCCUUGGGGACUCAUUUCUAACGCAUUUACACGGUUCUGUAGACAUUCCGUUUCUUCAUCUUUUCUUUGGUUCUUUUCCAGCAGAUCUCUCUUCUCCCAACGUAUUUCUUCCAGAAGCUGCCCCUGCCUUUAUCUGUUCAGACACUGGAGCUCAGAUUCUUUGUUCUCCGUCAGCUCCCCGAGUUGCUAUCUGCAGAGCAUCAGCUGGUGGCACAAAUUUUUCUGUUUUCUCUUUUAGUUCCUCACAGCCCCACUGAAGUUUAGUCUUACUUUCUGCUAACCAGUGACGUAGGUCAUAAUGUAUAUCAGGACCAGAAGAUAAAGCUUUCAAUCUCUCUAUUGAGUCCCUGGACAAAGUUUUACAGCUGC
rnacentral:lncRNA from 1 species